UCCUUAAUAGCUCAGUUGGUAAAGAAUCUGACUUCAAUGCAGGAGACCUGGGUUCAAUCCCCUGGUUGGGAA
rnacentral:tRNA from 1 species